UUAGCGUUUUUCAUUUCUAUUUUUGUUUUUAAUUUGUUCAAUCGUUUUAAAAAUCUGUUCGUUAGAACACCUAAUUUAAUUACCCAAGACUUUUUAGCAAUUAUGGAUUCUACCUACCCAUCUACUUCAACAAAUUCUCUUCCAGGAGCCUGCCAUCUUUGCAGCAAAAUAUUUAAAAAUGUGGAAUUACGAAAUCGUCAUAUCAAAAGAAUACACAAAACAGAUGUUCCGCCCAGGGCUAACAACAAAAUGAAUCAAAAUCGCAUCAUUUGUCCGUUAUGUGAUCAAGAAACUAAUUUUGAAAGUCAUGAGAAAUUACGAAAACAUCUCCAGGACUGCCACCAGCUGAGUAUUGAACUAAUAACUUUUGAAUUUUCUAGCAAACAAGAAUAUGAGACAUGGAAAGAUAUGCAGAAAAUUGAGACAAGUUAUGCAUGUACUAGAACAAUCCGUGGAAAGGAACAUAAGAUAAUGUACUAUGAUUGCAAUAGAAGUGACAUACAUGGAUAUAAGCCCAACUAUAAAAUUAGGACAGAGAAAUCUGGUGGAUCAAUUAGAAUAAAAGGAGUGUGCCCUUCCAGACUGGCUUGCAAACUGAGAGACCAAGGACAAGUUUCUGUCAGUUAUUGGAAAACACAUGUUGGACAUAAAGAAGAAUUAAGAACAAUGCAUCUGUCAAAAGCAGAAGAAAAAACGGUUGUAGAAAAAUUAAUGGCUGGGGUGCCACCCACUAGAAUUUUAAAAGAUUCAAGAAAAUUGGAAGUACCACAAUUAGAUAGACUUGCUGUAAUAACAAGUCAGGAUCUCAGAAAUUUGACCAGAAAGUAUAAUAUACACAAGAAACGAGAUCAAAAUGAUAUGAUAGCAGCAGCCCUAAAGGUUCAGGAAUGGAAUGCUAACAACAAGAAUUAUGCUUUCUUAUUCAAGAAGGAAGGAGAAGAUCAUGAUAUAUUGAGAAAAGAAGAUUUUGCAGUAGGGUUCAUGAAUGCGGUGAUGGAAGAGAAACUACUAGAAUUCCCGAACAUAAUUUGUGUCGAUGGGACACAUGGGACAAAUAAAAAAGGACUGGAUUUGACGAUUUUGCUGGUGAAAGACUUGUUGCGUUCCUUCUGUCAAAUAGAUUGGACCAACGAAUUCAAGAAGUUUUUUUAGAUGCCCUCAAGAAUAAGAUACAGACAGAAGUUAAUGCGGAAUAUUUCAUGAGUGAUGAUGAUCCUAAAUAUUAUAAUGCAUGGAAGAAGAUAAUGAGACAAGAACCAAGGAGACUAUUAUGUACGUGGCAUGUGGUGAAGAACUGGAACAUUAGAGGAAAGAAAAAAUUACAGGAUCCAACUUUGAAGGCACAAAUGAAAAAUGAACUCAGGCAGAUUAUUCGAGAACCAGAUGAAGAUAAAUUUAAAGAACUAUGUGACAAAUAUGUAUCCAAACUAGAAGAGGCAAAUGAGAUAGAAUUUGUCAAUUAUCUGAAAAAACAAUACUUGGCUGAACACAGAAAAAAAAUUGUGGCCCUAUUGUUACAGAAGAAAUGCCGGGAUUAAUACCAACAUGGCAAUUGAAUCACUCAACAAUCUACUAAAGACGAAUUACCUCAAGAGAAAUGCAGCAGUGGGGAUUGAGAAGCUACUGGAUACAAUGGAUGAGCUAGUUGAAGAAAAAAUGUGGACGAGGAUAGUUGAUAUAAUACGACCAAGCGCAAAUAAUUAUCAAGACAGGCUUUCAAUAAGAGCACACAAACGGGCAGCAUCGAUGAAAGGCAAA